rnacentral:rRNA from 1 species
GGCGAACGGGUGAGUAACACGUGGGUAACCUGCCCAUCAGAAGGGGAUAACACUUGGAAACAGGUGCUAAUACCGUAUAACAAUCGAAACCGCAUGGUUUUGAUUUGAAAGGCGCUUUCGGGUGUCGCUGAUGGAUGGACCCGCGGUGCAUUAGCUAGUUGGUGAGGUAACGGCUCACCAAGGCCACGAUGCAUAGCCGACCUGAGAGGGUGAUCGGCCACAUUGGGACUGAGACACGGCCCAAACUCCUACGGGAGGCAGCAGUAGGGAAUCUUCGGCAAUGGACGAAAGUCUGACCGAGCAACGCCGCGUGAGUGAAGAAGGUUUUCGGAUCGUAAAACUCUGUUGUUAGAGAAGAACAAGGAUGAGAGUAACUGUUCAUCCCUUGACGGUAUCUAACCAGAAAGCCACGGCUAACUACGUGCCAGCAGCCGCGGUAAUACGUAGGUGGCAAGCGUUGUCCGGAUUUAUUGGGCGUAAAGCGAGCGCAGGCGGUUUCUUAAGUCUGAUGUGAAAGCCCCCGGCUCAACCGGGGAGGGUCAUUGGAAACUGGGAGACUUGAGUGCAGAAGAGGAGAGUGGAAUUCCAUGUGUAGCGGUGAAAUGCGUAGAUAUAUGGAGGAACACCAGUGGCGAAGGCGGCUCUCUGGUCUGUAACUGACGCUGAGGCUCGAAAGCGUGGGGAGCAAACAGGAUUAGAUACCCUGGUAGUCCACGCCGUAAACGAUGAGUGCUAAGUGUUGGAGGGUUUCCGCCCUUCAGUGCUGCAGCUAACGCAUUAAGCACUCCGCCUGGGGAGUACGACCGCAAGGUUGAAACUCAAAGGAAUUGACGGGGGGCCCGCACAAGCGGUGGAGCAUGUGGUUUUAAUUCGAAGCAACGCGAAGAACCCCACCAGUUCUUG